UUCCAAUUUCAGUACUCUAAUUAGUACACUUUCUAAUUUCACUAUUUCUGCUCUCCUCUUCCUUUCGUUCCUUUAUGCCGCCGCCCACUGAAGUCUAAAGCCUAAGCUGUUUCUGAGUUUCUCCUCUCCUCAAUUGAAGACACUUUCUCAGUUUCUCGUUUCUCCUCUCCUCUCCUCAAUUACAGAAGGUUCAUCCCUAACUUUCUCUGUUUCUCUUUCUGCUUGCUUUCUGCUUUCUGUUUCUGGUUUCUCAACUGAAGAUAGAAACCCUAAGCGGCUAAACCUCCUCUAGCCGGCUCCUCGCAAGUCACACCUCCUCCAGCCGGUC
rnacentral:lncRNA from 1 species